GCCUGCGUAGCCGGCGGGCUGGCAGUGAGACUGACUGCGUCGGGGUUGAGACUGGGUGGAUGAGGCUCACCCCGGCGGGGAGAAGGGACGAGGAGGGGCGGACAGCGGAAGGUCCGGGAGUGUCCGCCAUAAAGUCGUUUGAGGUGACCGUUGCGUAAUUGUGAGUCUGUGAGAGAAGAUGUGAAGUAUGGCCUCGUCCCGGUCAUCUGGGCGUGCGGGUCCCGGGUUUUGAUCGCGCGUUUGUGUAGUUUUAACUUCUAGUCAUGGCGAAUGAUCGCAGGAGAGCACAGACUGGACCCUGCUACGAUCUCUCUUGGAGUGGAUCAGACUGAUGAUCACCAACAACCAACUCAUUCCCGGAUAAGGAAGAAGAGAGUGUCACCUACUUCAGUGUGGUUUCAACCCUACUUCUGCAUCUUAAAGACACUUGUACAACGUUGGACACUGUGCAGGAUGAUGCCACUUCAUCUUGGAUGCUAAUCUGCCAUGUUGACUUCUGAUUAACCCCAGGCCCAGGAAUGCCUCAAGAUUUCUACUUUACUUACUGUUGCUUGUGUAAGCCAAGACAACCUUGAUGUUAUCAUAAACAUGUACUUACCUAAGUCCUGUCCUUUGGCAAAUUAUGGGCUAUGAGACACAGCAUUCUUGCCUUUCCCUGAGGGGUCAAUUUCAGCGAUCCUACACAUUCCUUCUGAAGCACUUAUGCUCUUUCUAUAUGGUAUGUAAGCUCUCGGUCUGGGGAGUAACAGUGCAGAGAUCUACCUGUCUUGUUGCCACAUGUUUCUAAACUUUCCAAUAAAUCACCUUCUACUGACAAA
rnacentral:lncRNA from 1 species